UCGAUCUAGUAUCUGAAUUCCGAUGCCUAAACCACAUAAUCUAUCCCUUGCUUAUUAAUAGAGAAACAUUUUAAGAGAAUAAUCUUUGUUUAGUACUAUAUUUACAAGUUUGCUAUUAUUGAUGAGAUGUUUGUUUAGUACUAUAUUUACAAGUUUGCUAUUAUUGAUGAGAUGUCAUCACCUCAUACUUACUCAUGCUUCUUUUUAAUAGACCAACAUUUACUAGAACAAUUUUAAUAUAGGAAAAAUUGGAAAAAAGAGACACUCUCAGCUUAGAUUUGUUAUAAAAAGAUUUUUAGAAGAUUAUUUAGGUAAAUAAGAUUUAUAUUCCUUUUAAUACUGUUCUACUCUUUAAUUAACAAAAUUAUUUUUAAUUAAAAAUUAUAAUAUUUCAAUUUAUGUUUUUAUUAAAAAGGAAAAAGGUAAAAAACAGAAAGAAAAAAAAGUUCACGAGAGAGGUAAAAACACUCAAGUCGUUUUACCUUACUUUCUUUUUCACUUUACUCCUCUUCUCCGCCGUACCUUUAACACAUUAUCAAUGGCGAUUUAGGUUGAGUAGAGAAUCCUUGUUUCUUCAUCGGAAAUCAUUUGUCUCUAAUUUCGUUUUCGUCUUCCUCCUCUUUGUUUUCAGACACGAAUCAACGAAUUGGAGAUUUGUUCUUCUUCUACGGUUUCGUCCUACUGUAAUAAUCAUCAAAAGAAAAAAAAACUAACUCUCUCUCUGAAACUCCAUUCCUCCCCUCCUCUCUUCCGCAGUGGGUUUCAGUAGCAGAGUAGAAGAAGAAAAUGAUGACGGUGGUUCACUGUUGUGGAGCGUGACGGUGGUUCAUUGUUGCGGAUAAUGACGAUUUUUCGUGGCUAAGAGCAUGACGGUGGUUCGUGGCUGCGGAGCUUUGGCAUGUCCUCGUUGCCUACAGUUCCAAACAAAUUUUUAGUGCACUAUUCAACCUGUGCAAGAUAAACAAGAGGAGGCAAGAACAAGCGGCUGAUGCUUUUUAUCAUGUCACUCUCUUCUAUAACAAUAUGCAUUGCCACUCCUAUGUGAGUCUGUCAUGUUGCAGAGUGGUUGAAGCUCAAAAGCUUAGACAUCAAGUCUUAAAGACCAGCAAGCAAAGAGUAGAAUAAGAGUAUGGUUCUAUGUUUGUAAAAUCAGAAACAAUCCUUGAAAUCAAAACUUUUAGAAUUGAAGCUCAAUGUACUGUGUGAUUUACUUUAGUAGCUAAUCUAUAAAAUCUCAAUAUAUUGUGUGAUUUCGUUUUCAUCAAUGUAUUGACAUGAUUCAAUUUAUUGAAAGGUAUUUGCUUGAAAUUUUUGAUACAACAUACCAAGAAACAUUUUAACCAUUCGACCACGCCUUUCUUUGUCUACCACGAAACUCCACUCGUCACUGCAACUAGACAUACAUUCACCAGAUUUAACAUAAAUUAGAACCAUGUUGCAUUGAUAGAGAGAAGAGAUGAUUAUGUCGAUGAAGAAGAGAAAAACACAAAGAACGAAAGAGAAAAAGAUCAGGGAAAGAUAGUGGGAGGAGCCAAAAAAAUGUGGGAGAAAAUAUUCUAUGAGAGAUUUAGGGUAGAUUUACUUUAGAUUUAGGAAACAUCUUUAACCGAAUAUGAAAGUUUCCAUAUUUUUCGAAUUUGCCUAGAAUAUGUAUCCUACCUUACGCAGAACACAAUAGAGUAGGUGAGAAAUAUAUUCUUCCUUAAGCGCCACAUAAGGUAAAAGGCAGAACAUGUUAUGACAAAUAAUAUAGAUAAUAUAUAUCAUUUCGUUGUGGCUAUAUGUCGUUAUCAAGCUGUAGGUACACUGAAAACAACUUUCUUGAUUAUAACGUAACGGAUUAUAGCUUCGUUAGAAUAUAUAAGAAAUGUUAGUUUACGCGAUAUACCCUGGAUAUAUCUAUUUAUAAAACUUAGUAUCCGAUUUCUAGGCUAAGUAGAUAACCAGAAUGAGUAUUCUAACUGUAACUAUAAGAUAAAAUAAAAUAUGAUUCCACUUUUAAAAGAUAAUAAUUUCAAUAUAUAUAUUGUCAUACUUAUGUUUCCAAUAGUUUUCAUAUUUUUUAACAUUUUAAAAUUUCAGUUUACUAUUUUUCUCAUAAAAGAAGAGUAAAAUAUAUCCAGAAUUGCCCAAAGUAUUAGAAAUUCUAUUGUGACAAAUAAAAGUUCAAAGAGUCCAAUUUUUUCAAUUUUCCCUUUGAUAUAUGUCAUUGGUAGAUAGAUGUAUAAUAUGUUAUGGAUUAAUGAAAUGACUAUAGUUACCAGAGUAAAUGCGAGACCUGACUAUAGGCAUUUGGUCAAACAUUUAAUGUCUUUACAAGUUACCAAUGAUGUUUAAUGAUUAUGUUUACAAUUAUUUUUUUAAACUUUGUAUCUCUGUUUACUAUUGGAAAAAAAUAUGUUCAUACAAUUAAUAUUACUCCCAUAAUAUUAAUGCAUUAAAUAUGCGACUUUGUACUCUAUUUUUUUUCUACAAAAUUGGAUUUUAGGUAUUUCGAGUUCAAACAUAAAAAAAAAUCUAAAGAUAUAAUAAUUA